CCCAGCUUUUCUGUGUGACCAGGCAAGUCUGGUUUCCCUGUACCUCAGUUCCUCAUCUGCACAAUGGGGACAACAGCCCUGCCCUGCCUUGCAGGGGCGUUGUGAGGGUGAGAGGAAGUGAUAUCGGUGAACCAGAGAUGCUAAAGGAAAUGACAAGAACGUUCCUUCCUCACGUGUCUCCAUGGAUAACUCAAGAAGGUGGCCUCGCCCUUCGAAACAGCUUUCUUUCCCUCUGCUGGAUCGCUAGUGCUGAGCAGCAGCAUUUCCAGUGAGGUUUCAUGCUUCCACCUGAAUGGACAAUGGAGACAACGAAAGCCCAAUCAAGCCAAGUGACUUGUCCUACUUGAUGUUACCCAGAGAACCACUGCCUCAGAUGGGAAUUGAAGCCAGGAUGCUCAGUUGCUACACUUAGUACUAACCGUUAAACUACCCUGCUUUGUCAUUUCGUAGGGUCACCUCUUGUUUGUGGACUGCCAAUGGGUGAGGGCAGUUUUCAUACAAAUAAUUGCUAGGGAUUUCCCUAAACUUCUGUCAGUCCUAACUGCUGCUUCUCGUUGGCUUUUGGAAUGCUGAAGUGAUGCACAUAGCUAAGGACGAAGAGAUUUUCUACCUCUCAUGAGAAUCUCAUCCAUCCUACUCCCCUCCCAACCCAGGUCUAGUUCUUCAUUGAAGCCUUCUUGUUCCUCCUUGAUCUCCCUACACCUCCUCUGGUUCAUGGUGAUUUACUCAGGGCCUUGUCCAAAGCCCGCUAAAAUCCACAGGAGACUCUCUGCUAGCUUCAGUGGGCUGUGGAUCCAUCUCUACGUCCAACAUGUGUGCAGAACUACGACUAGCUGAGCACCACCCUCUCACCCAUUCAUGUGCUCAAGGGUCAGGAAACCCCCUGGGUUCAGGACUGAAAGCAAGGCUUAGUGCCCUUAUCAUGCUGGGUCAUACCAGUGCCACAUCACUGGAAGAGGCAACCGAGUGUUUGAAGGACAGGGCAGCUGCAGCACCAUUCCACCAGACCAGACUAGCAACAGAUGGGGUCUUUCCCCUUGAUCUUACAGCUAGGGGACUGAGGGUUGUACCUAAUCCUGAACCCAGGGUUAGUUAGGUUUUUAUGUUCCAAUGCAUGGCAUGGGUGGGGGAGAGGGGAAGGGGGAGAUGACAUUUCCUGCUCAGUCUCCUGUCUCUCCACUGGACACAGGCUGGAUGGGAACAGAUGGGAGUUAGUCACACUCCUUGAAUCUGUUAAAGAGACUCUGUCCUGAAUUCUCUGUUCCACUCAGGCCCCUUUACGUGCUCUCUGAAAGUGAGCGUAAACUGCAAUUGAGUGCAAAGUGGCCUUGGUGUAAAUGAGACUCAGGCCCACUAUCAAAUAGCGAUAGUCCCCGGUAACCUUUCCUCUACAGUAUGGUGAACCCACACAAAACCGCCUCGUGCUAGUGCAUGGGAUGCACCAGGGGAAAGUGCCUGGUCUGUUCUCAUUGGCCAAACUGAUUAAAGUGCAAAACAUAAGCAGCAUCAACGUUAAGGAGUAAAUUCAGUGUUUGAAAAUCACUUUUAAUAAUUAAAGGUGUUGUUAGUAACAACAGGCAGGGGGGAUGGGAUAGAGGUUUUAAAUAUCAGAUUUUAACCAGGGCAGUGUCCCUUUAUAAGGAGGUAAAACAUAAUGUUUGGAACUUAUAUGGGGCCUUUCAUCCAAGGAUCUGAAAGCGCUCUACAAAUGUCAAUGAAUUAAGCCUUGCGACAACACUGUGAGGGAGGGAAGAGUUCAGUUUCCCAGGGGAGAGCUGAUGGAAACAGCUCACAGAGAUGUUGUGACUCACCCAAGAUCACAGAGGAGGCUGGUGGGAAGAGAAUCUACAUUGAGGUCUUUUGCCUCAACCACCAAACCAUCCUUCAUCCAUAACCCCAGGGAACACGAACAGGAUGACUAGAUGUCACAGCACAGGGCUGCAAUUUAUUCUGCAAGCUUCAGGAUGAACUGCGGCCACUUGCCAGUUCUUCUGCUCACUGCUCUUCCUCUAAUACUCUUUGGUUUAGGACCAAUAACAACUGAGUCACAAAUUAUCGUACAUAAAAAUAACAGUGAAAAAGGAGCAUAAAUGAACUUACUUCAGAAUGACAUUAAAGAUUCCUAGAAGCUGUUUCCUGUGAUUCCUUCUCUCCUCUCCUCUCCUCCCCUCUCCUCAACCCUGAGCUAGGCCUUAUAAAAAUAACAGCAAAAACCCACCAAAGGGUUUAUAAUGAAGUCAACAUGCAGAGUAGAUGGGCCACUUUUGCACCCCAGAAAACACUAAAGCAGCGCACAUCUACAGGCAGAUGCAGUGCACCAUCCAUUCUGUUACUACC